GGAGAGGGUUCCCACUUAAAAGCCCUGAACACACAAAUAUAAUCUGAUUUCAGACACUAAGCAGGGUUGGCCUCAUUAGUACUCGGAAGGGAGACCAUCAAGGAAGAGCAGGGAUCUCCA
rnacentral:rRNA from 1 species